UCUCCCUGGAGCUGUUUUCUGCAGCUCGCCCUGCCUUGCCCUCUCAACCCCACUGGGAUCUAACCAGACUGGACCUUUCUCAUCCCCACUCCCCUCUAAAGGGAACAAAAGCCUCAGAGGAAGGAUGCCACGCCCUUCUCCAGCCUCCACAGGGCCACCCAAGCAACCAGUUUCAGAUUUAAACCUUCUGGAAAUCAACAGAGAAUAUGAAGAGUUAGAAGAAAGGGGCACUGGCAGCAUGGUACUGCUCAGUUCCAACAGAUUUUAACAAAAGGUGGGCAACUACAGAAAGAAGAAUCAGAACAGACUCUUCUCCCUCCCUUCCUCCUGCACAUAUUGUCAGAUGAUUAUACUUUAAAGAUUUCAACUGUCUAUCUAUUUUAUUGUACCUAUCAACCUCCUCUCACUUCCUUCCAAGUCCAUCCACUAAACUCUUCUAUUUGUGGUUUCAUUUUGCUCUCUCAGCUUUAGAGAUGUCAUUAAAAUGUGAUUUCCCUGCA